GGGGAUACUUCGUAGUGCGACAUGGAGCUUGAAAUUCAAUCCUACUAUUUUUUCCUGCUAUACCACCCAAAACAAGCAAUGGUGAUGUUACCAAUGUCCAUAUGAGAACUAUCACCACAAUUGUGCCAAAGGGAAGUGCGGCGGUUGCAUUGUAAACAAUAGCCACAGUGUUAAGAAAGCAGAAUGUGACAAAAAGAGGCCCACAGAAAAGGCAACCAGUCAGCAACAGAUUCCUCACCCAGUUUGUUCCUUCAAGUUGGCAAUAGAACGAGGCUGCU
rnacentral:misc_RNA from 1 species